GGGACCGCACAAGCGGUGGAUGAUGUGGAUUAAUCGAUGCAACGCGAAAACCUUACCUACCUUGACAUGUCCGGAAUCCUGCAGAGAUGCGGGAGUGACCCGGAAAGGGAAUCGGAACACAGGUGCUGCAUGGCUGUCGUCAGCUCGUGUCGUGAGAUGUUGGGUUAAGUCCCGCAACGAGCGCAACCCUUAUCAUUAGUUGCUACGCAAGGGCACUCUAAUGAGACUGCCGGUGACAAACCGGAGGAAGGUGGGGAUGACGUCAAGUCCUCAUGGCCCUUAUGGGUAGGGCUUCACACGUCAUACAAUGGUCGGUACAGAGGGUUGCCAAGCCGCGAGGUGGAGCCAAUCCCAGAAAGCCGAUCGUAGUCCGGAUUGUUCUCUGCAACUCGAGAGCAUGAAGUCGGAAUCGCUAGUAAUCGCGGAUCAGCAUGUCGCGGUGAAUACGUUCCCGGGUCUU
rnacentral:rRNA from 1 species